rnacentral:rRNA from 1 species
CCUACGGGUGGCAGCAGUGAGGAAUAUUGGUCAAUGGACGAGAGUCUGAACCAGCCAAGUAGCGUGAAGGAUGACUGCCCUAUGGGUUGUAAACUUCUUUUAUAUGGGAAUAAAACGUUCCACGUGUGGGAUUUUGUAUGUACCAUAUGAAUAAGGAUCGGCUAACUCCGUGCCAGCAGCCGCGGUAAUACGGAGGAUCCGAGCGUUAUCCGGAUUUAUUGGGUUUAAAGGGAGCGUAGGUGGAAUGUUAAGUCAGUUGUGAAAGUUUGCGGCUCAACCGUAAAAUUGCAGUUGAAACUGGCAGUCUUGAGUACAGUAGAGGUGGGCGGAAUUCGUGGUGUAGCGGUGAAAUGCUUAGAUAUCACGAAGAACUCCAAUUGCGAAGGCAGUUCACUGGACUGCAACUGACACUGAGGCUCGAAAGUGUGGGUAUCAAACAGGAUUAGAUACCCGUGUAGUC